AUUGAACGCGGGCGGCAGGCUUAACACAUGCAAGUAGAACGAGUGGCGGACGGGUGAGUAGUGCUGGGAUAUAUGGCUACUGGAGGGGGAUAAAUGUGGAAAAAUGUGGCUAAUACCACGUACCAUUGGAUGAGCCGAAGUGGGAAUAGGUAGUUGGGGAGGUAAAGGCGCACCAAGCAGACAAUCCCUAGCUGGUCUGAGAGGAUGACCAGCCACACUGGGACUGAGACACGGCCCAGACUCCUACGGGAGGCAGCAGUGGGGAAUAUUGCGCAAUGGGGGCAACCUGACGCAGCCAUGCCGCGUGAAUGAAGAAGGCCUUCGGGUUGUAAAGUUCUUUCGGUAGCGAGGCGUUAACUACAGAAGAAGCACCGGCUAACUCCGUGCCAGCAGCCGCGGUAAUUC
rnacentral:rRNA from 1 species